UUUAUGGAGAGUUUGAUCCUGGCUCAGAGUGAACGCUGGCGGCGUGCCUAAUACAUGCAAGUCGAACGAUGAAGCUUCUAGCUUGCUAGAGUGCUGAUUAGUGGCGCACGGGUGAGUAACGCAUAGGUCAUGUGCCUCUUAGUUUGGGAUAGCCAUUGGAAACGAUGAUUAAUACCAGAUACUCCCUAUGGGGGAAAGAUUUAUCGCUAAGAGAUCAGCCUAUGUCCUAUCAGCUUGUUGGUAAGGUAAUGGCUUACCAAGGCUAUGACGGGUAUCCGGCCUGAGAGGGUGAACGGACACACUGGAACUGAGACACGGUCCAGACUCCUACGGGAGGCAGCAGUAGGGAAUAUUGCUCAAUGGGGGAAACCCUGAAGCAGCAACGCCGCGUGGAGGAUGAAGGUUUUAGGAUUGUAAACUCCUUUUGUUAGAGAAGAUAAUGACGGUAUCUAACGAAUAAGCACCGGCUAACUCCGUGCCAGCAGCCGCGGUAAUACGGAGGGUGCAAGCGUUACUCGGAAUCACUGGGCGUAAAGAGCGCGUAGGCGGGAUAGUCAGUCAGGUGUGAAAUCCUAUGGCUUAACCAUAGAACUGCAUUUGAAACUACUAUUCUAGAGUGUGGGAGAGGUAGGUGGAAUUCUUGGUGUAGGGGUAAAAUCCGUAGAGAUCAAGAGGAAUACUCAUUGCGAAGGCGACCUGCUGGAACAUUACUGACGCUGAUUGCGCGAAAGCGUGGGGAGCAAACAGGAUUAGAUACCCUGGUAGUCCACGCCCUAAACGAUGGAUGCUAGUUGUUGGAGGGCUUAGUCUCUCCAGUAAUGCAGCUAACGCAUUAAGCAUCCCGCCUGGGGAGUACGGUCGCAAGAUUAAAACUCAAAGGAAUAGACGGGGACCCGCACAAGCGGUGGAGCAUGUGGUUUAAUUCGAAGAUACACGAAGAACCUUACCUAGGCUUGACAUUGAGAGAAUCCGCUAGAAAUAGUGGCGUGUCUGGCUUGCCAGACCUUGAAAACAGGUGCUGCACGGCUGUCGUCAGCUCGUGUCGUGAGAUGUUGGGUUAAGUCCCGCAACGAGCGCAACCCCCUUUCUUAGUUGCUAACAGGUUAUGCUGAGAACUCUAAGGAUACUGCCUCCGUAAGGAGGAGGAAGGUGGGGACGACGUCAAGUCAUCAUGGCCCUUACGCCUAGGGCUACACACGUGCUACAAUGGGGUGCACAAAGAGAAGCAAUACUGCGAAGUGGAGCCAAUCUUCAAAACACCUCUCAGUUCGGAUUGUAGGCUGCAACUCGCCUGCAUGAAGCUGGAAUCGCUAGUAAUCGCAAAUCAGCCAUGUUGCGGUGAAUACGUUCCCGGGUCUUGUACUCACCGCCCGUCACACCAUGGGAGUUGUGUUUGCCUUAAGUCAGGAUGCUAAAUUGGCUACUGCCCACGGCACACACAGCGACUGGGGUGAAGUCGUAACAAGGUAACCGUAGGUGAACCUGCGGUUGGAUCACCUCCUUUCUAGA
rnacentral:rRNA from 1 species